AUGUCGUGUGCAAAGUUUGGUGUUGAUUGGUCGAGAAAUGUGGGAGGAGUAGCGAAAAAACAGUUUUGCGGUUUUCGCGAUUUUGCGAAAAAAAAUAAAAAAAUUGCAGACGCAAAUGGGCGUGGCCUAUGCCAAAAGAUGCAGCAGACUCCAGUGAAUAUGUGGGUACAAGGUUUUGAAUGUGGGAGGUUCGGUGUGGGAGUUAUAGCCCCAAACGCGUCUUUCCUUGGUAUAGCGCCACCUAGUGGCCGGCGUGUCUGGAUUUUGUUAUCUGAGUAGCGGUGCCGGACCUGGAUCUAGUCAUGCAAUUGGCAUGUCGGCACCAUUUACGGUUUGGGCUGUGGUUCCACUUUCACGGGGAGGUAGUAUAAUAAUAAAAAUCCUUACAAAAACAAUAGGGAUCCAACCUGUUGGCUUGGACCCCUAAUAAUAAAAAUCCUUACAAAAACAAUAGGGAUCCAACCUGUUGGCUUGGACCCCUAACUAGAACUGCAAGCAGUUAUGCAGGGGUCCAAGAAGUGUGCAUUUCGCCGGCACAACGCGAAGCAUGUGUUCGAAAUUGAGAAACGGCGUAUGCCAAAAGAUGCAGCUGACUCCAGUGAAUCUGUGGAUAUAAAGGUUUUGACUGUGGGAGGUUCGGUGUGGGAGUUAUAGCCCAAAACGCGUUUUCAGAACAUUCCAUUGGCCAAUUAGGAGAUGUAUUAUUUCGUCGUUUUUUUGCGCCCUCUUGUGGCGAAAUUUUCCAAAGACAAUUUUCCUUUUCCAAAUAACUCCCGCCCCCAUAAUUCUUGACCAUAAUUUUUAUAUAGACUCGGGUUUGCCCCUUGAUAGUUCCCUCAUAGUUUGAAGAACAUUCCUUUGGCCAAUUAGAAGAUAGACAAUUUCCUCGUUUAUUGCGCCCCCUAAUGGCGACAUUUUCCAAAAUUUUUAUCUAACGUCAUUAUGGUUAGCACCAACAUGUGUGUAAAAUUUGGACUCGAGCCGAUGCCUAAUUUUGGAUUUUUUUGGAUUUUUGAUUUUUCCACGUCUAAUUUAGCUAAUAAACCAAUAUUCAAAACGCAACCGUUUCGUCGUCGAAGGUCGGAUCAAAAAACUGUCUCACGAUUCCUUUGCGUGUGCGUCUGAAGAUGUCGUGUGCAAAGUUUUGUGUCAAUUGGUCAAGAAAUGUGGGAGGAGUAGGGAAAAAACAGUUUUGCGGUUUUUGCGAUUUUGCGAAAAAAAAUUCUAGACGCAAAUGGGCGUGGCCUAUGCCAAAAGAUGCAUCAGACUCCAGUGAAUCUGUGUGUACAAAGUUUUGAAUGUGGGAGGUUCGGUGUGGGAGUUAUAGCCCCAAACGCGUAUUCCUUGGUAUAGCGCCACCUAGUGGCCGGCAUGUCUGGAUUUUGUUAUCUGAGUAGCGGUGCCGGACCUGAAUCUAGUCAUGCUAUUGGCAUGUCCGCACCAUUUACGGUUUGGGCUGUGGGCCCACUUUUACGGGGGGAAUAAUAAAAACUAGAACUGCAAGCAGUUAUGCAGGGGUCCAAGAAGUGUGCAUUUCGCCGGCACAACGCGACAAGAAAUGUGCGUUUCGCCGGCACAACGCGAAGCAAGUAUUGAAAACGCUACCGUGAACAACAUGUGGAUAUAAAG
rnacentral:lncRNA from 1 species